rnacentral:rRNA from 1 species
GCGGCGUGCCUAAUACAUGCAAGUCGAACGAACUCUGGUAUUGAUUGGUGCUUGCAUCAUGAUUUACAUUUGAGUGAGUGGCGAACUGGUGAGUAACACGUGGGAAACCUGCCCAGAAGCGGGGGAUAACACCUGGAAACAGAUGCUAAUACCGCAUAACAACUUGGACCGCAUGGUCCGAGUUUGAAAGAUGGCUUCGGCUAUCACUUUUGGAUGGUCCCGCGGCGUAUUAGCUAGAUGGUGGGGUAACGGCUCACCAUGGCAAUGAUACGUAGCCGACCUGAGAGGGUAAUCGGCCACAUUGGGACUGAGACACGGCCCAAACUCCUACGGGAGGCAGCAGUAGGGAAUCUUCCACAAUGGACGAAAGUCUGAUGGAGCAACGCCGCGUGAGUGAAGAAGGGUUUCGGCUCGUAAAACUCUGUUGUUAAAGAAGAACAUAUCUGAGAGUAACUGUUCAGGUAUUGACGGUAUUUAACCAGAAAGCCACGGCUAACUACGUGCCAGCAGCCGCGGUAAUACGUAGGUGGCAAGCGUUGUCCGGAUUUAUUGGGCGUAAAGCGAGCGCAGGCGGUUUUUUAAGUCUGAUGUGAAAGCCUUCGGCUCAACCGAAGAAGUGCAUCGGAAACUGGGAAACUUGAGUGCAGAAGAGGACAGUGGAACUCCAUGUGUAGCGGUGAAAUGCGUAGAUAUAUGGAAGAACACCAGUGGCGAAGGCGGCUGUCUGGUCUGUAACUGACGCUGAGGCUCGAAAGUAUGGGUAGCAAACAGGAUUAGAUACCCUGGUAGUCCAUACCGUAAACGAUGAAUGCUAAGUGUUGGAGGGUUUCCGCCCUUCAGUGCUGCAGCUAACGCAUUAAGCAUUCCGCCUGGGGAGUACGGCCGCAAGGCUGAAACUCAAAGGAAUUGACGGGGGCCCGCACAAGCGGUGGAGCAUGUGGUUUAAUUCGAAGCUACGCGAAGAACCUUACCAGGUCUUGACAUACUAUGCAAAUCUAAGAGAUUAGACGUUCCCUUCGGGGACAUGGAUACAGGUGGUGCAUGGUUGUCGUCAGCUCGUGUCGUGAGAUGUUGGGUUAAGUCCCGCAACGAGCGCAACCCUUAUUAUCAGUUGCCAGCAUUAAGUUGGGCACUCUGGUGAGACUGCCGGUGACAAACCGGAGGAAGGUGGGGAUGACGUCAAAUCAUCAUGCCCCUUAUGACCUGGGCUACACACGUGCUACAAUGGAUGGUACAACGAGUUGCGAACUCGCGAGAGUAAGCUAAUCUCUUAAAGCCAUUCUCAGUUCGGAUUGUAGGCUGCAACUCGCCUACAUGAAGUCGGAAUCGCUAGUAAUCGCGGAUCAGCAUGCCGCGGUGAAUACGUUCCCGGGCCUUGUACACACCGCCCGUCACACCAUGAGAGUUUGUAACACCCAAAGUCGGUGGGGUAACCUUUUAGGAACCAGCCGCCUAAGGUGGGAC